rnacentral:rRNA from 1 species
UACCAGCACCCCGAGUGGUCGGGACGAUUAUUGGGCCUAAAGCAUCCGUAGCCGGUUCUACAAGUCUUCCGUUAAAUCCACCUGCUUAACAGAUGGGCUGCGGAGGAUACUAUGGAGCUAGGAGGCGGGAGAGGCAAGCGGUACUUAGUGGGUAGGGGUAAAAUCCGUUGAUCCAUUGAAGACCACCAGUGGCGAAGGCGGCUUGCCAGAACGCACUCGACGGUGAGGGAUGAAAGCGUGGGGAGCAAACAGG